GAUGAACGCUGGCGGCGUGCUUAACACAUGCAAGUCGAACGGAAAGGCUCCUGCUUGCAGGGGUACUCGAGUGGCGAACGGGUGAGUAACACGUGGGUGAUCUGCCCUGCACUUCGGGAUAAGCCUGGGAAACUGGGUCUAAUACCGGAUAGGACGAUGGUUUGGAUGCCAUUGUGGAAAGUUUUUCGGUGUGGGAUGAGCUCGCGGCCUAUCAGCUUGUUGGUGGGGUAAUGGCCUACCAAGGCGUCGACGGGUAGCCGGCCUGAGAGGGUGUACGGCCACAUUGGGACUGAGAUACGGCCCAGACUCCUACGGGAGGCAGCAGUGGGGAAGAUUGCACAAGGGGCGCAAGCCUGAUGCAGCGACGCCGCGUGGGGGAUGACGGCCUUCGGGUUGUAAACUCCUUUCGCUAGGGACGAAGCGUUUUGUGACGGUACCUGGAGAAGAAGCACCGGCUAACUACGUG
rnacentral:rRNA from 1 species